CCAAUAGGUCAUUUAUAAGGCAUUUAGAAAGCCAUAGCAUGCCUGUCAAAAUAGUACUGUACACACAGAGCCAUCCUCAAUAGAAAAAUCCUGGAAACUCUUAUGGGGCAGGCAGGUUCUACUUCCUGGUAGGGACGGAGACUGGUGGUGUCUGUCUGUCAUGGUCAUGAAAUUACUGGCAGAUUUCUAGGAGGUUUCUGGUCCAUUGGAUGACUUUAAGACUUGCAUUCCUCCCCUGAAGAUUCAAGGCAAGAAUGUAAGUGAAGUUAAAAAUUAAGUUUUCAACUUUGACCUAGGGAGAUCAAAAGAUAUGGUGAAGAAUUUAAAUGGCUGAAAUUAGCAAAUCCAGUAAUUCAGUAUUUUUAAAAGUUGACAGGAAAGUCUUCACAGGGGAAGAAGGAAUCGCUUUUCUGUCCUGAAUCAGUGGAUAGAGAACAAACCCUUCAGCAAGAAGAGAAGCAACCGGAACACCCUUAUGUAAAUGGAUAACCAGGUCCCUCCCAGGAAAGUUCCAAAUUUUUGUUCCAUUCGUUAUGGAAUUGCUCUCUUACUCCUCCUCUGUAAUGUUAUAAUAAUGUCACAGCGCGUGUGUAUGAGCCUCACAAUGAUAACCAUGGUGAACAGCACAGAGCCACAUGGUUUGUCCAACACCUCCACAAAGGAGCCACAGGAUAACAUAAAGAACCCUGUGUAUAACUGGAGCACUGAAAUCCAGGGGAUCAUGUUAAGUUCCAUCUUCUACGGUAUACUCAUCAGCCAAAUUCCUGCUGGAUAUUUAUCUGGAAUAUACUCCUUAAAGAAAAUGGUUGGUUCUGCAUUGUUCCUCAGCUCUCUAUUUACUCUGCUUAUCCUACUGGCAGCUGAAUUUGGAGAAGCUUUGGUCAUCAUAUGCCGAGUAAUCCAAGGACUAUUCCAGGGGAUAGCAUUAACAACUCAGCAAGUAGUAUGGAUCAAGUGGGCUCCUCCCUUGGAACAAGUCCGACUUACCUCUCUGAGUUUAUCAGGACUUCUGCUAGGACCCUGUGUUGUCCUACUUAUAACUGGAUUCAUCUGUGACUCCCUGGGAUGGCCUAUGGUCUUUUAUAUUUUUGGUGCUUGUGGUUGUGCCUUAAGUCUUCUCUGGUUCGUUCUGUUUUAUGAGGACCCAAAGGACCACCCGUGUAUAAGCAAAAGUGAGAAGGAAUACAUCACGUCCGCCCUCACCCAGCAGGUCAGUUCAAGUGCACCAUCUCUGCCCAUCAAGGCUAUGCUUAAGUCUCCUCCACUAUGGGUCAUUUCCCUCUGUAAUUUUGCUUUUUUCUGGGCAAAUAGCUUCCUGAGUCUGUAUACACCAAUGUUUAUCAACUCCAAGUUUCAUAUUAAUGUAAAAGAGAAUGGGCUGCUGUCUUCCCUCCCCCAUUUGUUUGCCUGGAUUUUUGCUAUCCUAGCAGGUCAUAUGUCAGACGUCUUCCUGUCCAGGAAUAUUCUCAGCCUACUCACCAUCCGGAAACUCUUCACCUUGCUAGGACUUCUCCUGCCUGCCCUCUUCAGCCUGUGCCUGCUUUACCUGAGUUCCAGCUUCCAUGGCACUAUGAUUUUCCUGAUACUUGCUAAUGCAACAGGAAGCUUUUGUAUGGGUGGAAUAUUAAUAAAUGUCUUGGAUAUUGCUCCCAGAUAUUAUGGACUUCUUAAAGGAUUUACAAAUGUAAUUGGACUAACAGGAGGACUGGUUGCUUCCACUGUGACUGGAGUGAUCCUUAGUCAGGAUCAAGACUCUCCCUGGCUUAAAAUCUUCUUCAUGAUGGUAGCCAAUAAUGUGAUAAGCCUAAUCUUCUACCUUAUAUUUGCUAAAGCAGAAAUUCAAGACUGGGCUAAAGAAACACAAAACAGUUAUCUCUGAAGAGGCUCAGGCCUGAUACCCAGCCGGAGCACCAAGACCCUGUCAGCCACACAGCAUACCUCCUCACUGAGCCCAGGAAUGGCUGAUCUCUGCUAGGUGACCUGAUGCAAGUUGUCCUGAUGCCUCUCUUACCGAAACUCAGAAGCAGAGCACCACUUGGAUGAGCACAGGAAGGAAAGUCCAAGCUCUGACCUUUGCUGAGGCCUUCACAGCAAGGCCUGGGGCCUGGGCACUGCUGGUUCAGAAGUGGCUCAUUUUAAUACACCCUGGCCUAAAGUUACAGCUCGUUUCUAGAAAGGGAACCAAAAACACCGCCUCCCUGAUGAUUAAUGAUGGUAUAAAAGACCUCCCAUUGGAUGAGACAUGGGCUUCCCUGAGACCAAGGUAUCUCCCAUGUAAUUUGGUGGUUCAUUACCUGAAGAUGAAGUGUGUCCUAUUGACUGUGAACGGUCCAUGGAUGGUCCCUGGGAGCUAUAUUUGGAAGUCUCAGUCAUCUGAUAUUUACCUAUAUCAGAGGUGAAUGUUUCUCCUGCUAUCCUGUAUCCUCUACCUUUAUUAAAGCCUUACAUGAGCACGCCCUCUGAA